AACGCUGGCGGCGUGCUUAACACAUGCAAGUCGAACGGUGAAGCCCUUCGGGGUGGAUCAGUGGCGAACGGGUGAGUAACACGUGGGCAAUCUGCCCUGCACUCUGGGACAAGCCCUGGAAACGGGGUCUAAUACCGGAUAUUACCUUCCUCUGCAUGGGGGUUGGUGGAAAGCUCCGGCGGUGCAGGAUGAGCCCGCGGCCUAUCAGCUUGUUGGUGGGGUAAUGGCCUACCAAGGCGACGACGGGUAGCCGGCCUGAGAGGGCGACCGGCCACACUGGGACUGAGACACGGCCCAGACUCCUACGGGAGGCAGCAGUGGGGAAUAUUGCACAAUGGGCGAAAGCCUGAUGCAGCGACGCCGCGUGAGGGAUGACGGCCUUCGGGUUGUAAACCUCUUUCAGCAGGGAAGAAGCGAAAGUGACGGUACCUGCAGAAGAAGCACCGGCUAACUACGUGCCAGCAGCCGCGGUAAUACGUAGGGUGCGAGCGUUGUCCGGAAUUAUUGGGCGUAAAGAGCUCGUAGGCGGCUUGUCACGUCGGUUGUGAAAGCCCGGGGCUUAACCCCGGGUCUGCAGUCGAUACGGGCAGGCUAGAGUUCGAUAGGGGAGAUCGGAAUUCCUGGUGUAGCGGUGAAAUGCGCAGAUAUCAGGAGGAACACCGGUGGCGAAGGCGGAUCU
rnacentral:rRNA from 1 species